ACAUGCAUGUUCAGCUUUAUCUACACAGUAGAAGUGGAUAAGAAGAAACAUACGGUUGUUGGAUUGCAAUAAUACAUUCCAGCUUCUUCACUUUCAUGCUUUGGCUUUCAAACAUUCACUUCUUGAAUUAAGGUCAGUUCUAAUAUUAAUCAUGGCAGAUGCACUUGUUUCGGCCCUUGUGAGCGAGGUGGUGCGGACACUUAGUGAUGCAGCUAAGGAAGAGUUUGCUCUGUUUCGGGCAUUCAGCCGCGAUAUUUUGGCUCUCAAGGAAGAUUUCAAGCAGAUCCAGGCUGUUCUUGAAGAUGCAGAAGAGAAACAAGUCAAGGAAAAGGCUGUAGAGUUAUGGCUUCGACGUCUCAGAUCUGCAUCCAUGAAGGUUGAAGAUGUGCUGGACGAGGUCAAAACUGAAGCUUUGCUACGUCGUCUACACAAAGAAAUAAACAUCGAAAGAGGCAUUAAAUACAAGGUAACAGCCUUAUUCUCCAAAUUUAAGUUUCGUGUUAGGGCUGCUCAUAAAGUUAAAGCCAUAAGAACAAAACUUGAUGACAUAGCAUCUAAGAGACUUAAGUUUAACUUGACCUCUAGUGACACAAGUCAUGUAGAUAUGGGAGUUGAAGGUGAGAUGCCUAAUAGGGAAACUAGCUCGCUUAUACAUGAUUCUUCAAAAAUUUUAGGAAGAGAUGAAGAGGUGGAGAUGGUUACAAGAACGAUAUGCAACAAAGAUAUAGGAAAAUAUGACAAUGGUGAGAUUCGGGUGUAUGGUAUUUGGGGUAUGGGAGGUCUAGGAAAGACUACUCUAGCUCAAUUAGUCUAUAACCAUAAGAGGGUUGAUCAAUAUUUCGACUUAAAAUGUUGGGCCUAUGUCUCUGAAAACUUCCAAGUUAAAGAGAUAAUAAAAGGAAUUAUCACAUCCAUAGAUAAACGUGAGUGUACACUUACACAUCUAGAUGUGUUGCAAGAGUCCCUUCAAAGCAAGAUAAGGGAAAAGAAAUUUUUAAUUGUACUGGAUGACGUUUGGGCUGAAGAGAACGAGAAGGAAAAGUGGGAAAGAUUAAGUGGAACAUUAAGUUGUGGGGCAGAAGGAAGUAUUGUUGUGAUGACAACACGGUCGAAGAGAACUAGUAGAAUGAUGGCUAAGGUUGACGAGCUACAACAUGAAUUGGGAUGUCUAUCAGAAGAGAAGUCAUGGUUAUUAUUCAAGAAGCAUGCAUUUGCACAAGGAAGAGUGGGGGAUGACGUACGUAAGCUAGAGCCUAUUGGAAGGGAAAUAGUUGUGAAAUGUAAGGGACUGCCUUUGGCGGUGAAGACUUUGGGCAGCUUAAUGUGGUCAAAAAGUAGUAGCAACGACUGGCAACGUGUGAAAGACAGUAACAUAUGGAACUUACAAGAAAAGAAUGUCUUGCCUGCUUUAAAGUUAAGUUAUGAUAACUUGGUUCCACAUUUAAAGAGAUGUUUUUCUUAUUUUUGUUUGUUUCCUAAAGGCCACAAACUAAAAAAAGAUGAACUGAUCUUGUUGUGGGUAGCAAACGGUUUCAUUCCGCCCGGAAAAGAAACAGACAACUUGUAUGUGAUAGGGGUAGAAAUUUUUAAUUGUUUGAUUUGGAAAUCCCUCUUCCAGGUUGAGAACGGAUAUGUGGAUGGUAUUGAUAGAUGUAAAAUGCAUGAUCUAGUGCAUGACAUGGCACGGCAUGUAAUGAAACAUGAUUGUUUAGUUAUAGAGCCUGCUUGUAACGAUGUUAAAAUCCCAGAUGAGGUUCUUCAUUUGAGCUCGUCAUGUCCGGAUGAAAAGUUAAUUUUAUCAUCUGAGGAUUUAGGAAAGUUAACAUCUUUAAGGUCGAUAUUCAUGUUCGGGGAGGGGGAUGAAGGUUGCAUCAAUCAGCUUUUCAACCACGUGUAUGUAAGGGUAUUACACCUGGCUCUUACGGAGUUAAGGACAUUACCCGAAUCAAUUUGUAAACUCAAACAUCUGAGAUACUUGAAUUUAUCAAACUCAGAUAUAGAAGUUUUACCCGAGUCGAUUAUGUAUCUUCAAAACUUGCAAGUGUUGAUUUUAUUUUAUUGUUGGAGAUUGCGUAAAUUGCCUGAAUCGAUUUGCAAGCUCAGAUAUCUGAAUUACUUGACCUUACUAGGCUUGGGAAUAGAAGUUUUACCUGACGGCCUUAAAGACAUGAUUAGCCUUCAACGUUUGGACAUCAAUGAUUGUGAUUCACUCCGACAUUUGCCGUGUGGAAUCGGGAAAUUAACUAGUCUUCGAAUGCUUCCAUGGUUUCCUAUUGGUAAGGAGAGAGGGGCCAAAAUAAGUGAAUUGGGGGUUUUAAAUCUUCUUGAGGGGAAGUUGAAGAUAGAAGGACUUGAGAAUGUUGGAGGUUUAAGUGAGGCUAAGAGUGCCAAUCUCAAAUGCAAAAAGAAUCUGUCGAUUUUGGUGUUAAGGUGGUCAGAAUGUGAUUUGGACAGUGAUACAGAAGAAUUAUAUACAGCAACAAUGUUUCCAGAUUUCGAAGAGGUUCUUGAAGGAUUAGAGCCAAAUCCAUCUUUAGAGAUAUUGAAAAUGAAGUAUUUCAUGGGAAAGACUAUUUCUCCAAGUUGGAUGGACAAUUUAAGGAAUUUGGUUGAAAUUGUUUUCUCUCAGUGUAAUAACUGUGAGCAAAUUCCACCACUUGGGAGACUCCCCAGUCUUAGGGUUAUUAAGUUGUCGCUCAUGCUUUCUUUGAAGUGUUUUCAUGAUGACGAUAUAAACAUGUCAGUAGACAACAGCGAUAUGUUUAUUUGUUUACAAAGAUUAGAGAUCAUCGGGUGUUGGGAAUUAAUUUCUUUACCAGAUAAUCUUCCAAAACUGGAGGAUUUAGAAUUAUAUGAAUGUGACAAAUUAAUUUCUUUACCGUGUAAUCUUCCACGCAUCAGAGAGUUGAGAAUUGAAGAUUGUAAUGGAUUACUUUCUCUACCGGAUGAGAUUCAGAGUUUCAAGGAUCUUAACAAACUUGAGAUAACAAGGUGUAAACAUCUAAAUAAAAGGUGUAAAAGAGAGAAGGGUGAAGAUUGGCAUAAAAUUUCUCACAUUCCCGAUCUAAGUAUUGAAGCUCCAUUCUCUUCGGAUGAUGAUGAUGAUGAUAGUGAUGAUGAAGAAGAGACUGACGAAUGGUGAUUGGUGACUGCACUUGGCACUCUAUACACGAGAUAAAGAGGUGGAACAUGUCCUACUUGCUUAGUGCUUAUGGUAUCCGUCUACACCACACGAUUAAAAAGGGUUAGUGAGUUGCUAAAAUUUUCUGCUGAAAAUGGAAUUUUAUGUAUGAAACAGUGGGAAGCUGUGGUUUUUCCUCUUUGCCUGACUUCUUUAAUGUAUAUCGGCUCGUUUAUCCUCAAAAUUUUAUCAAUUUGGAGCUCGUGGGCCGAACAUGGGGACCGUCAGAUAGAUAUAUCAUUUCAUGGCUUAAAGAGUGGUCUUCAAAACCUCAUUAACUGGAUGGUUUCAGCCGUUUACGAUAUUUCAGUUUGGAGAAUGUAUAUUGUGGCUCCCGUUACGGAAGAGUUAGUUUUCAGAGGUUGUAUGAUAUCUUUACUUCUAUGUGGAGGAUUUAAAGCAUAUACAGUAAUACUUCUCUCUCCUGUUCUUUUUAGCCUAGCUCACUUGAACCAUUUAUUGGAGUACUACAUGCAACAAAAUACCAGCUUGCUGAAAGCUUCCAUGGUUGUAGGUUUCCAGCUGGGCUACACAGUGAUAUUUGGGUCAUAUGCAUCAUUUCUCUUUGUUCGAACUGGACAUAUAGCAGCGCCACUCGUGUCACAUAUGUUCUGCAACAUCAUGGGACUUCCUGCCUUCUUUUCACGAAGAACAUGGUUGGUGAGCGUGGGAUUUGUAGCAGGGGCGAUAAGCUUUGUAUAUCUUUUGUUUCCGCUUACUUCUCCAGCGUUGUACAAUGAUAGAACCGACAAUUGCGAAUGCUGGCACACUUACUGCUAUUGGACUUAGAGACUAUGAAUUUACUUAUCCGCGAUCACCAAAUGUGGCUACAGAGGAUAUAUCCUUCAACUGGAUUCAAGAUAGUUUUCAGUCAUAGAGUUUUUUGUCCAGAAUGGAUCUUCUUGCUUGCCAUGCAGAUCAGUUAUUUGUUUAUCUGCGUGUAUCGACAUUUUAGUCUGAAUUCAACGAUUUCAAAAUGAACAACUUAUAUUGUACAAAGAACAAGUCAUCUUAGGCUACACCAGUACAUUGUGUGGCAUUUAAUUAGUUUGGCUGGUUUGAGA